CCUACGGGUGGCUGCAGUGGGGAAUAUUGGACAAUGGGCGAAAGCCUGAUCCAGCCAUGCCGCGUGUGUGAAGAAGGCCUUCGGGUUGUAAAGCACUUUCAGUGGGGAAGAAGGCCUUGGGGCUAAUACCCUCGAGGAAGGACAUUACUCACAGAAGAAGCACCGGCUAACUCCGUGCCAGCAGCCGCGGUAAUACGGAGGGUGCGAGCGUUAAUCGGAAUUACUGGGCGUAAAGCGCGCGUAGGCGGUCUGAUAAGCCGGUUGUGAAAGCCCCGGGCUCAACCUGGGAACGGCAUCCGGAACUGGCAGGCUAGAGUGCAGUAGAGGAGGGUAGAAUUCCCGGUGUAGCGGUGAAAUGCGUAGAGAUCUGGAGGAAUACCAGUGGCGAAGGCGGCCUUCUGGACUGACACUGACGCUGAGGUGCGAAAGCGUGGGGAGCAAACAGGAUUAGAUACCCCGGUAGUC
rnacentral:rRNA from 1 species